rnacentral:siRNA from 1 species
UAACUACGGAAGAUGGAGUGA